UCUCCGGAGUACGUGCUCGCCUAGUCACCUUUAUCUUUCCACCUGUGCACACACUGUAGUCCUGGAUACCUCUCGUCGAAAGGCGGAUGCAGGGUUUGCUGUGACUUUGCAAGAAGGCCGGCUCACUCUGAAUUUCCAGGUCUAUGAUCUUACACACCCCAAACUGAAUGUUACAGAAUGUUAUCAUCGGGCUUCGUGCCUAUAAAUUUAUACAACUUUCAGCAACGGAUCUCUUGGCUCUCGCAUCGAUGAAGAACGCAGCGAAAUGCGAUAAGUAAUGUGAAUUGCAGAAUUCAGUGAAUCAUCGAAUCUUUGAACGCACCUUGCGCUCCUUGGUAUUCCGAGGAGCAUGCCUGUUUGAGUGUCAUUAAUUUCUCAACCUCACCAGCUUUUGCUGAGUGUAGGCUUGGAUGUGGGGGUUGCAGGUCCGCUAACGUGGUCUGCUCCUCUGAAAUGUAUUAGUGGGUUGGGCCCCUAAUCUAUUGGUGUGAUAAUUAUCUACGCCGUGGAUUUGGGUGGCUGACUUAGACCCGCUUCUAACCGUCCUUCACCGGACAACUCUUGACA
rnacentral:sRNA from 1 species